rnacentral:misc_RNA from 1 species
CAUUUGUUACAGCAAAUUCUCAAAUCUGACAUGCUAUGUUUUUUAGAUACAAUCCUAUUUUAUUAUUUGUGGGAAUUUUCCCUUAGUUCAAUUGAAGUUUUAAUAUCAUAAUAGCACAUAAUUAGUGGCACAGGUUGAUAUUGAACUAGGUCUCCUUGAUUUAGUUUUUAUUUUUAUUUUUUAAUUUUAAUUUAUUAUUAAAAAAUUUCUAAACUUUUAUUUUAUUUCAUA